rnacentral:rRNA from 1 species
UGGGGAAUCUUAGACAAUGGGGGCAACCCUGAUCUAGCCAUGCCGCGUGAGUGAUGAAGGCCUUAGGGUUGUAAAGCUCUUUCAGUGGGGAAGAUAAUGACGGUACCCACAGAAGAAGCCCCGGCUAACUCCGUGCCAGCAGCCGCGGUAAUACGGAGGGGGCUAGCGUUGUUCGGAUUUACUGGGCGUAAAGCGCACGUAGGCGGACUUUUAAGUCAGGGGUGAAAUCCCGGGGCUCAACCCCGGAACUGCCUUUGAUACUGGAAGUCUUGAGUAUGGAAGAGGUGAGUGGAAUUCCGAGUGUAGAGGUGAAAUUCGUAGAUAUUCGGAGGAACACCAGUGGCGAAGGCGGCUCACUGGUCCAUUACUGACGCUGAGGUGCGAAAGCGUGGGGAGCAAACAGG